UGCUCAAAGCUACUUUUAAGCUGUCUGAAGCCUUGACGUGGUAAAAGAAGUAGAACCCACACAGGGUGAAAGUUUUAGACCCCAGCUUGUGCUCUAUCUGUCAAAAGAUGAAGAUCCCACAAUGGGUUGAUCAAGCUUCUACUAGCCACAAGCUAUUAAAAGGCAAAACUAGGAAAUUUCCAUUUUCCAGCUAAGAAACCAUUCCCUGAAAACCAAGAUCCAAGAAUGCCAUGGAUCUAUCUGGACUUUGUAUGUACGCUGCAAUGCAGUGAUAAUAAUUCCACAGAGAGAGAGAGAGAGA
rnacentral:misc_RNA from 1 species